rnacentral:rRNA from 1 species
UAGUCUACGCCGUAAACGAUGGAUGCUAGCUGUUGGACUUCGGUUCAGUGGCUAAGCGAAAGUGAUAAGUAUCCCACCUGGGGAGUACGUUCGCAAGAAUGAAACUCAAAGGAAUUGACGGGGGCCCGCACAAGCGGUGGAGCAUGUGGUUUAAUUCGAUGAUACGCGAGGAACCUUACCAGGGCUUAAAUGUAAGUUGCAUUAGUUAGAGAUAGCUAUUUCUUCGGACUACUUACAAGGUGCUGCAUGGUUGUCGUCAGCUCGUGCCGUGAGGUGUCAGGUUAAGUCCUAUAACGAGCGCAACCCCUACCGUUAGUUGCCAGCAUGUUAUGAUGGGGACUCUAACGGGACUGCCGGUGCAAACCGUGAGGAAGGUGGGGAUGACGUCAAAUCAUCACGGGCCCUUACGUCCUGGGGCUACACACGUGCUACAAUGGGUAUAUACAGAGGGGCA